rnacentral:rRNA from 1 species
AUUGAACGCUGGCGGCAGGCUUAACACAUGCAAGUCGAACGAGUGGCGGACGGGUGAGUAAUGUUUGGGAAUCUAGCCUAUGGAGGGGGAUAACUACGGGCAACCGUAGCUAAUACCGCAUACUAUCGGAUGAACCCAUAUGGGAUUAGCUAGUUGGUGAGGUAAUGGCUCACCUAGGCGACGAUCCCUAGCUGGUCUGAGAGGAUGACCAGCCACACGGGGAAUGAGACACGGCCCAGACUCCUACGGGAGGCAGCAGUGGGGAAUAUUGCGCAAUGGGGGAAAGCCUGACGCAGCCAUGCCGCGUGAAGGAAGAAGGCCUUCGGGUUGUAAAGUUCUUUCGGUAGGGAGGCGUUAACUACAGAAGAAGCAACGGCUAACUCCGUGCCAGCAGCCGCGGUAAUAC